ensembl:ncRNA F26A10.15 ncRNA
UUCUCUCUUCAAUCACUAAACCACCACCUCUCGAUAAGAACGAGGAGGGAGGGGGAGGCGUUUUGGUGGAUGCGACGGCGCACGGGACCUUAUACUGUAUUCUCAUAGUGUAUCUGCACGAGACACUUGUCUCCUCUAUCAUUUCCACAGAGAAAUUCAAGGGGCCACC